AUACGGAGGGUGCAAGCGUUAUUCGGAAUCACUGGGCGUAAAGGACGCGUAGGCGGGUUGGCAAGUCAGGUGUGAAAUCCUACAGCUUAACUGUAGAACUGCAUUUGAAACUGCUAACCUAGAGUAUGGGAGGGGGAGAUGGAAUUAGUGGUGUAGGGGUAAAAUCCGUAGAUAUCACUAGGAAUACCGAAAGCGAAGGCGAUCUCCUGGAACAUAACUGACGCUAAGGCGUGAAAGCGUGGGGAGCAAACAGGAUUAGAUACCCUAGUAGUCC
rnacentral:rRNA from 1 species